CAUGUUUCUAGAAGCAUGAGCGACAAGAAGUGGGAAUGGAGGUGAGCACGUCGACUGAGUUUGUUGCCGUUUCUUGAUGUUUUGAUAAACGAUGGUUGAGAUGAUGGUUGCAACAUACCUCGACAGGACUAGCAGCGCAAGGUUCACACAAUCAGCCUUGAGGUGGGGGAGACACACCGUCUCUUUAAUCGACUCUUCGUUUCUUGGGAAAUGUCCAUGUAUCACUUUGCAUGCAACGAGCCACCAGUUACAUCAUACUGAAUAGAAAAUUCUUGUUGGUCGAGUUGUCUGCGGGCUGUGAACGAAUUGGUCGAGUCGACCGGUAGCCUCUAUCGCUAAAGUGCUCAGGUCUCUUCAAAAGCUGACAAAAGUGGUCCCUGUGGCACAGAUUUGGAUGCUCCUUAUCCCGUUUAAUAGGCAGUGCAGCCAAACUAUGCAACAUACUCUCCAGGAGUGACCACCAUGAGUUCUCCACCACCACAACCCCCGGGACAGGACCCACCGGGCACACCACCACCCCCAGGCUAUUACGCGGAGGGAUCGCCACCUCCAGAUUAUUACUCGGAUAGUCCACAGACGACGGGGUUAAUUCCAAGAGCUAGGCGGGAACCUGCCGAUGACUACUUGUACUUAUCUAUCGUCAGCUGUAUCUUCUUAAACCUAAUUCUUGGUAUAAUUGCCAUCGUAUUUUCCUAUAAGACACGUAUGGCAAAUGGUAGAAGAGAUUACAAAGCUGCUGAAAGCCACAGUCAAUCGACACUAAUUUUUAUCGUUGCUGCAGCCAUUCUUUUCCUCUUCACCUUAAUUCUCUUCCUUGUCUUCGGUUGGAAAUUUCGCUAAAAUCUGGGCGUGGCAGCAACACAUUUCCAGAGAGGACUGUUGUGUACAGUGUGUUCUAGAGUGGGGAGAUGUUGCUAACUUUAUAACUUCAUUUAUUUUUUACACGUAGCUUUAUACUAGUGUAUUCACUGUAUUCUGCUGAAAACACGAUGUUUAUUUAUUUAUGUAGUCUUUAUCGUCACUGAAGCAGUUAACCAACUUUCCGAGUAUUCAAGAACUGGUGUAUUGAACUGCGAAAAGAAAUUUUAAAGAUUGAGAAGAUUAUAAAAUCCUAAUCAUGUUUCGUGGAUUUACAUGUGUGCAAAUGGAAACUGGUAUACAACGCUGCAU